CUGCCUCCCCUGGUGUCUGAGUGGCGUCCAACACUUGCAUCAAGAGCUCACAAAAAUCCAAACUUGACAAUAAUUGAAGAAAAAUUCUGCAUAAUCACAGUUUGAACUAUAAUUUUUGUAAAGCUUCAAAAUUGUAUUUCAUUCUCAAAUGCUAUAUAUGAUAUAUACCAAAUAAAAACAUAGCAUACUGAAAAUAACAAUUGCUAACACAUGCUCAAAAUCUUCACAUUGAAUCAAUCCACAAUCCCUAGCACCUGCUCGAAAUCUUCCCGGUUAAUCAUUCAUAACUAAUCUGAAUUGAUGAAAUUAUAGAUGAGUUUAGGAGAGAUUCCUGAUGCAUUUAGAAUCAAUACUUUUAGUUUCCUCUCACUAAUAAUGUGGCUUACAACAAAGUUUGUAAUUCAAGUGUUUAAUUCUAUUCGGAUUCCGAAAAAUAGUCAUUGGGGAAGUAGUCCAUGCUAUCUUCCAAAAGUCCUGAAAAACAAAUCUCUGGUUGAUGUGGGUCUACUUUGGAAUAGGCAAAUCCUGAGAAUUAGCCAAACUUUCAAAAAACUCUAAAAAACAUGAUGAAUUCAUAAACAAUUUGACCGAAAUUUGAUGGCAAAAACUGUUCAUGUUUGUGUGAGGAUUUCACUUAUUUCAAUUUUUAUGUCAGGGGGGAAAUAUCUUACAAUGAUAAGAAAUUGGAAAAUCUUAGACCACAGGAAACAUCAGCUUACAUAAGCCAAUACAACUUGCACUUACCUGAGAUAACAGUAAGAGAAACAAUUGAUUUAUCUGCCCGUUGCCAAGGUGUUGAAAGUAGGAAAGGUACUCUUUUCUUGCUCAACAAAAUAAUACCAGAUUUAUGAGCUCCAGGCUUUCAGCUUGAUAUUGCAGAGAAAUUUCAACACGGUAUACCAACUCAAUACUCUUGAAAAAUUAGAAAUUCCAACAAUCAACUCAAAAUUACAAAAUCCUAUACAAUAAGAUUACACACAAACCCUAGAUUUCAUUAGAAAAUACCUUGGGGUGGGGUCCGGCGAACUUGCUUUCGAAUUCGUCCGGCGAGAUGCUUGGAUUCGCGAGUGAGAAUGAGCCAGAUUUCGUACGCCCGGAUGCUUGGAUUCGCGAUUGGGAAGAAGCAAGAGACUGUACUUUUUUGACCCGAACAACCAAGAUCUGUGAUAGAGGGAAAGAGGCGGAACCGAGAUUUGUGACGGAGGGAAAGAAGGGAACAUAGCAAAUACAUAAUUGUAGAGAGACUGAAAUCGGAAGAAGGGGAAGAGGAAAUUUAUUGGAAAAGGUGAGAAACUGAAAUUGGAAGAAGAAGAAUAGGAGGAGGAGGAAACGGAGGGUUUAAUCGAGGAGAAGAUGAAGAAAUUAGAACAACUCGGUGAAUAACUCACUAAUUGACUCAAAUUGAUUUGAAAUUGAUUAUUGUACUGUAUUUAUAUAUAAGGAUUGAUUUGAUUUUUUUUCAAAUACAUAAUCAAUUUUGGUACAUUUUUUGAAAGAAAGUGGCACUAACAAUUUAAUUGAAGAAUUAAACCAAACCGGACCGAAUCAAAUUCCAAAACAAACACAUUCAGCAGCCUAUCUAAAAUCAACCAAUUAUUUCAAGGCAGAAUUCAA
rnacentral:lncRNA from 1 species